rnacentral:rRNA from 1 species
UACGUAGGGUGCAAGCGUUGUCCGGAAUUAUUGGGCGUAAAGAGCUCGUAGGCGGUUCGUCACGUCGGCUGUGAAAUCCCGAGGCUCAACCUCGGGUCUGCAGUCGAUACAGGCGGACUGGAGUACUGCAGGGGAGACUGGAAUUCCUGGUGUAGCGGUGAAAUGCGCAGAUAUCAGGAGGAACACCGGUGGCGAAGGCGGGUCUCUGGGCAGUAACUGACGCUGAGGAGCGAAAGCGUGGGGAGCGAACAGG